AAUGAACGCUAGCGGCAGGCUUAAUACAUGCAAGUCGAGGGGCAGCAUGAUUGUAGCAAUACAAUUGAUGGCGACCGGCAAACGGGUGCGGAACACGUACACAACCUUCCAAUAAGUGGGGAAUAGCCCAGAGAAAUUUGGAUUAAUACCCCGUAACAUAACGAUGUGGCAUCACAUUGUUAUUAUAGAUUUUUCGCUUAUUGAUGGGUGUGCGGCUGAUUAGAUAGUUGGCGGGGUAACGGCCCACCAAGUCUACGAUCAGUAGCUGAUGUGAGAGCAUGAUCAGCCACACGGGCACUGAGCAACGGGCCCGACUCCUACGGGAGGCAGCAGUAAGGAAUAUUGGACAAUGGACGAAAGUCUGAUCCAGCCAUGCCGCGUGAAGGAUUAAGGUCCUCUGGAUUGUAAACUUCUUUUAUAAGGGACGAAAAAAGGCUUUUCUAAGUCGUCUGACGGUACCUUAUGAAUAAGCACCGGCUAACUCCGUGCCAGCAGCCGCCGUAACAC
rnacentral:rRNA from 1 species